GUGUGACAGGGCCUUAACCCAGGGGUUUUGCAAUCAAAGUGAUGCAACCUGGAUAGUCGAAUGUAGUUAACUAGGCACAAUAUUUUGCCACUUAAUAGUUAACAGUUAUGCAUAAAUAACAACAGUCUUAUCACCGCCUUAUGGAGACUUUAUAUUAAUUGUGCUACUCUAGCUAGGAUCUAAAAGACCCAUAGGUCCCAUACUCGACGUAUUCAACUAGCAACAGAAUAGUUAGUUAAAUUAAUUCAUUAUAUAGAAUCAAUGUUAAAGGUAAGCUGGCUUACAGGCUAUAAUUAUUUGUAUGGUUUAUAGAAGCC